AUCUUCGAUUCCCCGUUUCUUCGAACCCUUCAACAUGUUUUGAAAAUAUCGAACCAAAUCUGCCGACCGAACAGAUCCGCUCCACCAUCAUCAUCUUCACCGACGACAUCUCCAGUAUCGUCGGUUUAAUAUUUUCGAAAGAAGAUGGGAGGGGAAUCAAAGAUUCUCCGUUUCUUCGAACCCUUCAAUCCCUUUUGAAAAUAUUGAACCAAAUUCGCCGACCGAACAGAUCCGCACCACCAUCAUCAUCUUCGCUGUCGUCAUCUUCAACCUUACCGGUUCGAUGCUUUCGAAAGAUGAGGGGAGGGAGAUCAAAGAUUUUU
rnacentral:lncRNA from 1 species